rnacentral:lncRNA from 1 species
GAAGACCUGAGGUAUCAGGGGUAGGGGUUGCUCUGCUUGUGUAAGUCCCAUAGUGUGAAGGCCAGAGAACCAAGAGAUGGUCAAGAAGAGAGAGUAAGUGUCCAAUGUCCCAGCUCAAGAAGAGAGACAAGACCAACCCCGCCUCUUCCUUCUCCUUCUCGACCUACUCAAAGUAAAGAUGAGGAUGAAGACCCUUAAGAUGAUCCACUCCCACUUAAUGAAUAAAACUUUUGUGGAUAGCUAAGUUACUGCUAGCCAUCUGAUUAUAGCAAUGGCUUCCAGGAGCAUCACGACCUGUGCAGACUCCCCAGCAUCAUAACAGGAAGGUCCCACGAUCACGAGCACAUUGCCUUCAGCAUCCAGCACUGAAUAUGGUGAAUUGCACUCUGAAGAGCUUCCUAAGCUUGUAAGAAAGUGAUUCUGAAAAGCUCAACAUUUUGGUAGAAUGGAGAGAUUUGACAUUGCUUCUGCUCCAAAAGCAAAAGACUUGGGAAGGGCACCCUGGGAGUUGAGAACAUCCACCACAGAGAGGCCUGGCGUAAAGGAGAUGGGACUCACACCCAAGAGGAUGCAUUUCCAUACACCCAUUUCUGAAAUAUGAAGAGGUGUCCAGUCUGUUUGAUUCAUAGCUGCCUGUUCCACAACUGCAGAUACAGUAAUUGAUAACCGAGACCAAGUUCUCAUCCCCAUCUCCCAGGGCUGGAACUGGGGCUGUGUUUGGUUCUCAUAAGAUCAGUUCCAGUUUUAGAAACUGAGUAAAUUGUGGAGUAAAUAUUGCCAAGUGAUGGCUUUCUGCUGUAGGCGUGGGUCGCUGUUGGCCAUUUGCCUCAGCAUAUCACCAGCAAUGCACCUCAUUGCAUCACUGCAUUUCCAAUUACACCUCAAAGCACCACUGGUCCCCUGUCCACCCUCUGCCCUGCAGAGGUGGGUGUUCAGGGAGACAGAUCCAAAAUCUGGGCUCAGAAGAUGGAAAUGCCAACUGCUCUCAAUUUGAGAGUGGGGAUGAGACUUUUUGACUCAACUCUGGUUAAUUCAGCCAUGCUGUCAGAGCUGCUUUGAUGCAAGGACAUCUGAAUGCUAUCUGAAUGCUGCCCCUAAAAUAACA